rnacentral:lncRNA from 1 species
GGAGGUGACAGCCGACUUUAUUGAAGGUAGAGAGAGGGUGCCGGUACAGAGUGUCUGGGAAACUCCGGAGAAGAGAGCCCUCGUCUUUGCUUGGGGUCUGGGGUUUUUAUUGAGGACUGUGCUCUGGUGCACGGUCCUCCCAGGCGUCCGGGAACCAUUGCAAGACGGCGAGGGCGCAGGUGGUAUCCCUUAGAGCCGGGGGUCUUGGCCUGGAGCAGUCCAGCGCCAGUCAGGAAUGCGCAGCUGAUAACUUCCGCAGGUCAUUUUCUGCUCCUCAGAUGUUACCUGCUCUAAUGAAACCAAUUCCUAACCCUUACAAGGACACACUAUCUGCAUGAUGAAGCAUGUGUAAAAUGGGGGUGCACGUCCCAGCAGGAAUGGAAUUAGAAAAGGAACAAAAAGCAGACUUGAUGGAGUGCUUCAGUUUUCCUGACUCGGAAGGAGCAAACGGGCUUGGGAAGUUGAAUGACCCCAAGUCUCCCUGACAGACGGCGGGGCAGCGAUGUGAGCCCAUGCGAUGGGACACCCCCGGGUGCCGAAAAUCGUGGCCAGGCCAGAACGGCUAGUCUAGUAUAUCCCGACUCCCGGUUCCCAUCCUGCGGCGUCUGCGACAAAGCGUUUCACUGCCUCGGCGUCCCCGACACUCACGUACAGAGGACGCCGGGACUCAGCCGCAGCGCUCAGCCAGCCAGGCGGCUCGGAGAGGCGGGCCCUAGCGGCCAAUGAGAGCCUUGGGUGCUCCGGGCGUCCGCAGCCGAGCCAAUAGGAGCCGGGCAAGGGCACCUGGGGCGGGGCCGGAGCCCUCUAUUGGCCAGAACUCCUGCCACUCCAGAACGCCCGCUGUCGGACUCGGCCAGGACCUUGCUGCCCUCUCCUGCUGCAGUUCCUCGAGCGUGCCUGCCCUUCCUCUUGUUCUUUGCUCCUCCUCCCUCACUCCCUUUCUUUUUAGGGGGUCAUGACUCCCUAAGAGAAACACUUGAGCGACAAAUAUUUUUAACGUGCCAGCCGUGAGGUAGGUGCUAUAAUGGCAGAUAAAAAAACAGCCUUAGAGUGAAAAGACUUGGCCAACACCCGAAUCGGGAAGUUUCCAGAAGAAAACUGGAAGCAGAGCCCCUGGCUCCUACCUUUAGGUACACAUUGGAAGGUUAGGCAUUUUAAAUGACUUGGGGAACCUUGUGACGUGCAGAGCAGGGGAAUGAAAUGAGUGGAGGAACUUGACAUUGCAGGUAGGGAGAUGUACGCAGGGCCAGUAACAAUGUGAGGUGGAAAGUACCAAGUGCUGGAAGUUUAUCCAUUUGUUCAUUCAACAGCUGUCUUUUUGGUUUUAAAACCAGUUUGGUUUUUUUAAAGAUUUUAUUUAUUCGGGCAGCCCCGGUGGCGCAGCGGUUUAGCACCGCCUGCAGCCCAGGGUGUGAUCCUGGAGACCCAGGAUCGAGUCCCACAUCUCCUGCCUGUGUCUCUGCCUCUCUCUCUGUGUCUCUCAUGAAUAAAGAAAUAAAAAAUAUAUAUAUAAAAAGAUUUUAUUUAUUCACGAAAGACACACACACAGGCAGAGACACAGGCAGAGGGAGAAGCAGGCUCUAUGCAGGGAGCCCAACGUGGGACUCGAUCCCGGGACCCCAGGAUCAGGCCCUGGGCCAGAGGCACUCAAUCGCUGAGCCACCCAGGCUUCCCUCAACAGCUAUUUUAAUAUCUACCAUUUGCAGCCUCCUCCAAGCACAAAGAUCCCUAGAUGGAAUUCAAAUAGUAUCAUGUUUGAUUUUACACAGAAACAAAUACAGAAAACAAAAAUCGUCAUUUAUCCCAACAUACAAAUAACAUCUGCUGAUUUUUUUUUAAGACUUUAUUUAUUUGACACAGAAAGAGAACAUAAGCAGGGGGAGCAGCAGAGGGAGAGGGAAAAGCAGACUCCCUGUCAAGCAGAGAGCCCGAAUGUGGGGCUCCAUGCCAGGACACCGGGAUCAUGACCCAAGCUGAAGGCAGAGGCCUAACAGACUGAGUUACCCAGGUGCCCCACAUCUGCUGAUUUAAAAAGAAAAAGAAAAGAUAAAGAUGAUUUUGAGCUAUGCUUCAAAUGGAAAGGACACAAGAGACACAAUUAAGAGACACAAGGAAGGGAAAAGGGGGUUGAUCAAUAUAACUAAGGAAUGAGUGCAGGGAAUGGGAGUCUAAGAGGAAUCCAAGACAGCUGCAGUCUGGGGAGUGGGAGGCUAAGGGCGCUAUAGAUAGCAAUAAGGAAUAUGGAAUUUGGAUAUGAGAAUAUGACAUUAAGGAUCUCUUCCUAAGGAGCAUGGCGCCAAGAGCUUUGGAAUCCAGGAGACCUGGAUUAAGUGUCACUGAAACAGACCACUAAAGAUAGAAGGUUGAAAUAAGGUAUAUAAUAGAACCAGAAGCCAGUUCCCUUGCUUAAGGAACAAUUUAAAGGGGAGUUGUGACUUCAUAUAUUGACUUCAGAGAUUUAUGCAGCAAUGUAUCCGAAUUUUUAGAACAUGGUCUAAGUAUCUUUGGAAUUUUUUUUAAAGAUUUAUUUAUUUAUUUAUGAUAGACAGAGAGAGAGAGGCAGAGACUCAGGCAGAGGGACAAGCAGGCUCCAUGCCUGGAGCCCGACACGGGACUCGAUCCCAGGACUCCAGGAUCGCGCCCUGGGCCAAAGGCAGGCGCCAAACCGCCAAGCCACCCAGGGAUCCCAGUAUCUUUGGAAUUAAAAGAACCCAGUAAAGCUGGGAUCAAGCAGGUGGGAUGAGUCCAAAUAGCUUCUGAAAUGUGAAUUUCCAGUUAUUUUGAAAAAAGACAGGACCAGGGUACCUGGGUGGCUCAGCUGGACAUCUGUCUUCAGCUCAGGUCGUGAUCCGGCUCUGUGUUCAGUGGGAGCCUGCUUCUCCCUCUCCCUGCCACUCCCCCCACACCCCCACUUGUACUCUCUCUCAAAUAAAUAAAACCUUAAAAAAAAAAAA